rnacentral:rRNA from 1 species
UGGGGAUAACAGGCUGAUACCGCCCAAGAGUUCAUAUCGACGGCGGUGUUUGGCACCUCGAUGUCGGCUCAUCUCAUCCUGGGGCUGAAGCAGGUCCCAAGGGUAUGGCUGUUCGCCAUUUAAAGAGGUACGCGAGCUGGGUUUAGAACGUCGUGAGACAGUUCGGUCCCUAUCUACCGUGGGCGCUGGAAAUUUGAGAGGAUCUGCUCCUAGUACGAGAGGACCAGAGUGGACGAACCUC